rnacentral:snoRNA from 1 species
CUCCAGGGUCCCAAGUGCAAGCCCCGAUGAGCCUGCAACACUUUCCUAAUAUGAUCAGGCCCCACUGUGGGUGGUGCUGCUUGCUAGGAGCCUCAGAGGAUUAUGAGAGCAUAGCAGGAGAAGUGGGGUCAGGGGAUAUGGCA